rnacentral:misc_RNA from 1 species
GAUGAAGAACGCAGCGAAAUGCGAUAAGUAAUGUGAAUUGCAGAAUUCAGUGAAUCAUCGAAUCUUUGAACGCACAUUGCGCCCGCCAGUAUUCUGGCGGGCAUGCCUGUCUGAGCGUCAUUUCAACCCUCAUGCCCCUAGGGCGUGGUGUUGGGGAUCGGCCAAAGCCCGCGAGGGACGGCCGGCCCCUAAAUCUAGUGGCGGACCCGUCGUGGCCUCCUCUGCGAAGUAGUGAUAUUCCGCAUCGGAGAGCGACGAGCCCCUGCCGUUAAACCCCCAACUUUCCAAGGUUGACCUCAGAUCAGGUAGGAAUACCCGCUGAACUUAAGCAUAUCAUAAGCGGAGGA